GUUUGCACAAGAAGCUGUAUGCUAGCUGUUCGGUCUGGCUCACUAACCCUAAGAGUUGGGACAUUCACGGAAGAUUUUAUUUAUUUAUUUAACAGAGAGAGCGCGCGCACAAGCAGGGGGAGCUGCAGGCAGAGGGAGAGGGAGAAGCUGGCUCCCCUCUGAGCAAGGAGCCCUGGGGCUUGAUCCCAGGACUCUGGGAUCAUGACCUGAGCCAAAGGCAGAUACUUAACCGACUGCGCCACCCAGAUGAUUCAACAGCUCAUCUUCCAACAAAAGGAACGUGAAGUACGGACUUGCGUUCAACAACAGAUGAUGUUCUCCAAACAACCUUCCAAUGAAUGGAAUCUUGACAGUGGAUCUGAACUUCAGAGAACAAUAUAUCCUGCAGGCUGACUUCAUCUGCCCCCUGCUAAAAUGGGGAAGUGAGAAAGGAAAAAGAUAACCCCGCAAGUGGAUAGCUAGGCUGUAGUGUUCCUAACCAAUCACCAGCUACCCUCACAGGAUAUAAAUAAUAAUCAGACAAAGCCAUUCUGUGACUUUAGUGGAACAAAGCAGAGUGGAGGCCACUUUGAAACCACAGAAAUUGCUAACAUCUUCCUCUUGUAACGAACAAACUGAUUACAGGUCCUUUACCACCGAUAGCUCUAACCCCACCUUAAUCCUUUGGUAUUGUAGAUACAAAUUACCAAAGAUCUACCCACUCACCAAAUUGCCCCUGCUUCCUGACAGCACCCCCACUUUCCCUAAAACCACCACAGAAUCAGCCAACACAAGCUCAAGCCUUCUAAUAAGCCCUUCCCAAUUCUUCCUUAAAGACACACCCACAGUUUCUCUGACGAGUGUUCUUUCCUGUUGCAGCAAAUUAAAUAAACCUAAAUUUAGCGGGUGUCUGGCUGGCUUAGUUGGGAGAUCACACCACUCUUGAUCUCGGGGUCCUGAGCGUGAGCCCCAUGUUGGGUGUAGAGAUUACUUUAAAAAAAAAAAAAAGGAAAAAGAAAAAGUUACCAACCCCCUCCUCCCAACUUUAACUUCAGGUAGUUCUUAUGGUCUUUCAGCUGGUGAGCUCUAAUAUAGGAUAUACAUCAAACUGUGAAUUAAUGGUUAGCUCUAUGGGUAAGAAAACAGGUAAUUUCUUCUUUACAAUGUAUAUAUUUCAGUAUGGGUUGAGUUUUUGACCACAGGCAUGGAUCGAGAAAAAGAAGAAAUAUAUUUGAUUGGGGCCAGAGAAGGACCUCCACUGGUUUCCCUUGCCAAUAAGAAAAAGAUCAUAUCCUUAGUACGUGUACAAAGUUCAGAUUAAUUGAGUCCACUAUUCCCAGAAGCUCCCUUGCUCACAGCUUCCCUAUGUUCUUGAGCCUCUAGCAGUGCUAAAUUUAUUUCCCAAACCCUAUGCAAUUCCAUUUUCCACUAUCCAUUUAAACAUGCAAACAAUAUCCUUCCUGCAACUGCCUGCCUUUUCCCCAAUAAAGAACUUCCUUUUAAAAAUUGAAUCAACAGGUGAAUGUACACACAAAAGGCAGUAUAUACAUACAAUGGGAUGUUGUUCACCAAUAAAAAGAAAUUAAAUCCUGAUACGUGUUACAACACAGGUGAACUUUGGAAACCCUUUGCUAAGUGAAAUAAGCCAGAUGCAAAAGGACAAAUACUGUCUGAUUCCACUUAGAGUAGGUACCUAGAGUAGGCAAAUCCAUAGAGACAAAAAGAAUAGAAGUUAGGGUGCCUGGGUGGCUCAGUUGGUUAAGCGACUGCCUUCGGCUCAGGUCAUGAUCCUGGAGUCCCGGGAUCGAGUCCCACAUCGGGCUCCCUGCUCGGCAGGGAGUCUGCUUCUCUCUCUGAACCUCCCUCCUCUCAUGCUCUCUAUCUCAUUCUCUCUCUCAAAUAAAUAAAUAAAUAAAAAAAUCUUACAAAAAAAAAAAAAAAGAAUAGAAGUUACCAGGGGCUGGGCAGAGGAAGGAAUGGGGAGUUACUGUCUAAUGGG